rnacentral:tRNA from 1 species
UCCCUGGAGGUCCAGUGGUUAAGACCCUGCACUGCCAAUGCCGGGGGCAUAGGUUCGAUCCCUGGUCAGGGAA